UCAUGUUCUAAGACAUGUUUCUUAGUUAGGGGAAGGAAGGAACGGUUCUUGAUGGCACGUGUAGGUAAAUGAGAAGAGAGAGGAGUGUCUUUGUUUCGUGGUUUGGUUCUGUUCGCUCUCUCUCGAUCGAAAGAUCGGAAUCCUCUAUCUCCGUGGCUCCUCGACGAAAGGACGUUGAGACUGACAUCGCUGAAACGCGCCGCGGUUGAGUCAUGCCGCAUCUUGGAAGUCCGAAGCUUCAGCCACGCAGUGGGUAUGCCUCCGCCUUUGAACAGCGUCAUCGAUCGACCCGCCGCUGAUUUCACCUGAGUUCGAUCAGAAUCAGAACCAACGGGGUUCGAUCGAUGAGAAGAGCUUCGGAUUCGUAAAAACUGUAGAGAUGUCGGCUAAUGUUAAAAUGAUAUUGAUUUCCUACGGUCAGGACUAGGAGAAACUUUUACACCUACGAAAGCGACAGAGGAAGAAGCCAUGAGGAACAAGGAGAAAGCGUGGGAGAGAAGGGAGAAGAGGAUGCAUGAGAUCUCUCUCCUUCGAUCCAUCCCUUACUCUGACCACCAGAGAUGGUGGUCUUCUGAAAAAUGUAGCAGUGGUGACUGGUUCUAACCGAGGUAUUGGACUCGAGAUCGCAAGACAGCUUCGGAUUGACUGUUGUUCUUACAGCUAGAAACGUGGAUGCUGGUCUUGAAGCAGUUACAUCCUUGAGUCUCCAAGAAGGUCUCAAGGUUGAUUUCCAUCAGCUUGAUGUCACGGUUUUAAUUGCACACUUUCUUGUGUCUGCAGGAGAUGCGGACGAGUCAAGCUGCCACAUUUCUUCUGUUGCAGCGGUGAGCCGGUAAACCCCCAGUGAGCAAGGCCACUAGAACUGGUGAUUAAGAUUCCUUAUAUGAUUACUCCUUGUCGGAUAUCCAGCGGGAUAUUAGAUUUUGGGUUUGCCACUGUGUUGGUGACUCAGGGCAAGAAUUUGAAGCUUACUGGAACUUUAGGGAACAGAGCUUCUGAGUAUUUUCUUGAUGGUUAUCAAGUUUAUAUAUGUAGCAGAAUGAGUCUCACACUAUAGAGUUUUUCAGGUUUGGGAUCUUUAAGGUUUUUGUUUCUGUUUUUUACAGGGAAAGUAACAGACAAGAAUGAUGUCUACUCUUUUGGAUUUGUUUCUGUCUUGUAUGCUCAUGUCAUCAAACGUUCCAUCUUAUUAGAAAGUUGUAUAAAUGGAAGUGUAUGCAA